UUUCCGUAGGUGAACCUGCGGAAGGAUCAUUCAUAAUAAGUGUUUUAUGGCACUUUUUUAAAUCCAUAUCCACCUUGUGUGCAAUGUCAGGGUUGAUCUUUCUCUCGAGAGGAUCAACCCCAAACAUCAACUAUAUCUCAACUCUUUGUCUGAAAGAUAUUAUGAAUAAAACAAUUCAAAAUACAACUUUCAACAACGGAUCUCUUGGCUCUC
rnacentral:misc_RNA from 1 species